rnacentral:lncRNA from 1 species
CAUUCUGUUCUGUGUGCUCCUGCUGAAAACUGACGUCGGCUAAGGCUGCAGCAGGUUUCUGGAGGACCCCCGGACCUCAGGGAAUAGAAGGCUGGCGAGGGCAGCAGGGGUGGAGGGAGGCAUUUGAAAGGGCUCCAGGCAGCGGUUGUUUACCAACUGAGCUGAAAGCCUAUUUGAUUCUGUGUAUUGCUUUAGUGGAACGUGUUGGCUGACUUCUGCCCUAGAAGGGGGAAGGGUGCUCUGGGAAAGCGAGUGGGUGGCUCCCCGGGGGCUGAAAUUGUGCCAGCAGCUGACUUCCAGUAAUGGAGCUUGUGCAAGAAGUAGACAGAGCGAGUCCAGGGCUGGCGGCGGAGCGCCCGUUUCCCUGCCAGUGUUUGCUGGGAGAUAACCUGCUCCUGCCUGGCAUUUGAUUAUCCAAGCCCUGCUUUGGUGGCUUAUCCUGUGUAUGACCCGGGAACUGACUAGAUCAGAUCAGGGGUUCUUUUUGGGGGGAAAAGAACGAGGUGCAAGGGACAGGACUUCCUCCUCGUCUUGAAUUUCUUCACUUUUUGUUUUCUAUUGAACCAUUCAACUGGCCAUACCUAGUUCACCCCUGGGUGCACUGGAAUUUAGGGAGAAGAGCAGCGGACCCCUGGCAAGCUUGUUUUAAGCUGACACCCAGUGCAUUCUGCCCCUGCUUGUUUGUAGGUAGUUGAAACCAGCAGAAUAAAAGGCUCAGACGUGACUCUGAGAAGUUUCUGAUAUUUGCCAUGACCAUCUGUAAGAUCUCACUCUUCACCAGGCUGAGAAUUUAAACCCCUUCUUCCAUUUAUUUUUCUGUCCCCAAAUAUGCUCAGCUCUAGUGUCCUGGGUCUCCAGACAGCGCCAUGUUACAACUUAGUUGGAAUAAUUAACACAAAGCUCCAGAUUCAAAUAAUAUGAGCCCCUUCCAAUGAAUAUUUUUAAAAUGGUGGUAAAAUGUAUACAACAAUAUUUAUCAUUUUAACCAUUUGUAAGAGGAUAAUUUAGUGAUAAGAAAUACUUUCACAAUGUUGCAAAACCAUUGUUGUUGUCUAUUUCCAAAACUUUUGGUCAUCCCCAACCUCUGAAACAGUAACUCUCAGUUCCCUGCACCUCCACCACCAGCUCCCAUAACUUAUAUGCUACUUUUUGUUUCUAUGAAUUUACCUAUUCUCUGUUUCUCAUAUAUUUAGAAUUAUAUGUUUGUCCUAUGUUUGGAUUGUUUCACUUAGCAUAAUGCUUUCACAGUCCAUCAGUGUGGCAACAUAUAUGAACAUUUUUAUACUUUUUAAUGGCUGAAUAAUGUUCCAUUGUAUGUAUUCCCAUUUUGUUUAUCCAUUCAUAUGUUGUUGGGCAUUUGGGUUGUUUCCACUUUUUGGCUCUUGUGAUAAUGCUGCUUAUAAAUACUGGUAUAGACAAUAGCAAUGUUUCCAAUUCUUUGAUUCCCUUCUUCUUCUUUCUUUUUGGAUGCACCCACAGCAUGCAGAGUCCCUGGGCCAAGGAUCGAACCUGUGCCACAGCAGUGACAAUGCCAGAUCUUUAAUCUGCUGAGCCACCAGGGAACUCUAGAUUCCCUGCUUUCUUUUAGAUAUAUACCUAAGAGUGGAAUUGCUAGGUAUGGUAGUUGUAUGUAGUAAUAUUUGUAACAUAUGGUAGUUGAAUAUUGUAGUAUUUGUAAUGUAUGGUAGUUGUAUGUUGUAACAUUUGUAACAUAUGGUAGUUGUAUAUUAUAACAUUUGUAACAUAUGGUAGUUGUAUGUUGUAACAUUUUGAGGAGCUGCCCAGCUGUUUUCCACCAGGCACUCUACCAGCAAUGCAUGAGGGUUCCAAUUUCUCCACCUCUUCAUGAAUCCUUGUUAUUUUCUGUGUGUGUUUAAAUUAUUAUUUUUAUUAUAGUAAUUCUAGUAAAAAAUAUAGUGAUAUCUCAUUGUGGUUUUGAUUUACAUUUCCAUAAUAACUUAUGAUGUUGAGCAUCUUUGCAUGUGCUUAUUGGUCAUUUGUGUAUCUUUGGAGAAAUGUCUACUCAUGCCUUUGCCUGUUUUUUUAAAAAAACUGAACUAUGGCUGAUUUACAAUAUUGUGUUAGUUUCAGGUGUACAGCAAAGUGAUUCAGUUAUACAUAUAGCAUGUAACGUAUAUAACAUAUGUAUAGUUAUACAUAGCUCUGCAUAUCCCUUAGUUUUGUGGGGAUUUGAGGGGGCCCCACAGUAAUGAAACUAACAGCACUAAUGGCCUGAACCUAGCCAGAACCCAGAUUGGGUCUUGAACCCCCAGUUUUUAAAUUAUACUCACUCACCUGGUGUCUGGACUUACUGAGAUUGUUUCUUUAUGUCUCUGCGCAGAAAGAAUUCAGCGAGAGACAAAGUGAUAGGCAAGAAAUUGAUUUAUUAAGAUGGGACGCUUGUGAGAGAUGCAAGCAGGCAAGCAAGGAGGCUCUGCCCCCAGUAUUAGGUGGGCUACAGUUUUAUCAUCAAAGGGGAGUGGAGGUCAGAAAAAACCACUUCUUCUUCCUCUUUCUCAGAGUAGUAGCUCCUCCUUGGUAUCUGGUAAGAGAGUAUAUGACCCUAUAAGGUCAAACUAGGACUGGCAUGGUGCUUAUUCAAAUCAGCAGAAGGGGAGUUCCCAUUGCGGCAAAGUGGAACAAAUCUGACUAGGAACCAUGAGGCUGGCCUCCCUCAGUAAGUUAAGGAUCUGGUGUUGCAGUGAGCUGUGGUGUAGUUUGCAGACACGGCUUGGAUCCCACGUUGCUCUAGCUAUGGUGAAGCCCAAAGCUAUAGCUCCAGUUGGACGCCUAGCCUGGGAACCUCCAUAUGCUGGGGGUGCGGCCCUAAAAAAC